UACGGAGGGGGCUAGCGUUGUUCGGAAUUACUGGGCUUAAAGGGUUUGUAGGCGGCCUUGUAAGUCAGGUGUGAAAUCCCUCGGCUCAACCGAGGAAUGGCGCUUGAUACUGCAAGGCUUGAGGGAGACAGGGGUAAGCGGAACUGAUGGUGGAGCGGUGAAAUGCGUUGAUAUCAUCAGGAACACCGGUGGCGAAAGCGGCUUACUGGGUCUCUUCUGACGCUGAGGAACGAAAGCUAGGGUAGCGAACGGG
rnacentral:rRNA from 1 species